CUCGCCUCUGCGCCCUGAGCGGCGGUGGUGCUGCUAGUGCCCUCGCAGCCAGGCAGGCAUCCCUGGGUUUUGGCCAGCCUCCAGCACGGGGGAGGUCCCAAAGGAUUGAUGGCUGGAACUGCGGUGACAUUUUUUCAUGGGAACUUCAUGUCUUGGGGCCACCGGUGGGGUAAUGUGGGCAAACUUUGUGUCCAUACUUGAUACUCAUACCCAUGCCCAUGAGUGUUGAACAACUGUCUCCUUACAGAAACAGACUGUCAUCACCAGUGUUUUCUGUGUUAUUAAUGCAAUAGCAAAUUGCAAAGAUCCUGCAGAGGGAGGCUCACACACCGGCAUUCUGCUACCAUAGGAGGGCUGGUAUCACUCUGGUCUUGGGGGAAUUGUCUGGGUGGUAUCCUGGGUCCAACUGUGCGUAAGACAUGUGGCAGUGAGGCAGUGAGCUCCAUAUCCCCAGCUCAUGUCACUCAUCACCCUCACAGUCAUCAGCUGGCUAAAGACACACCACCAGUCAUGCCUUCACCCAUCUGGCUCCAUAGCCCUUCUUCCCAUUGCUGUUUCCUUGCACUCAGAAGGAAAAUGGUGAGGAGGCAAUCCAGGAAGAGAUGGCACAAAGGGGUUUCAGUUUUGUAGCAGCAGUAAGUGUGUGCCUUUAAUUGAUCUAACACUGUCGAGGGACUUGAGGUGCAUCAGGUACCCACUGCCCACUGGCAGCCAACAGACAUGGGUGUUCACCUACCUGGCUUAUCUGUGAUAGUAAUCUCUGUAUAAAUCUAACACCCAACAUCCAAACACUGUUUGGAUGGGGAAGCAGGGAGGAUGGCUCACAACAUGGUUCUGGAAUUGCCUAUUUGGUGUCCAGCUCCAUACUCUUGUGUGAGGGAAAGCAUCACCUCUUUAAUCAAUUGUCUUUAAGGCUGUUACAUCCACGUUCCUCUUCUAUGAAGACAGGCUUGAGACAGCUGGGGUUGUUCCAUCUAGAAUAGAGAGGGCUCUGGGAAGACCUUAUAGCAGCCUUCCACUACCUAAAAGGGAGCUGCAAGAAAACUGAAGACAUCUUACAAGCAUAUGCAGAGUUAGGACAAAGGGAGAUGGAUAGAUAGGAGGAAGAAAUUCUUUACCUGAAGGGUGAUGAGGCACUGGUACAGGUUCCAUCCCCAGAAGUGUUCAAUGCUUGGCUGGAUGCAGGUUUGAAUAAUCUGGUGUAGUGGAAGAUGUUCCUACUUGUGGCAAGGGCUUGUAACUGGGUGGUCUUUAAGGUCUCUUUCAGCUUAAACCAAUCCAUGAUUCCGUGGUUCCAUGCAUAUGUAAAAGAUGCAACAAAUACAUAAGCUGGGGCUGGAAUUGAGGCCCAAGGCAGUAAUCUGGUGCAGAGUUUGAAACCUUUUUUGGAGUCCAGCUUUCUGAGACAAGGUUGCAGUUUCUGCCAAUUUUGGAAUCUGAGUAUGGUUCAUAUUGAGACAGGGUUGUUAAUAGAGCUCUUCUUAUUUAGAAGUAGCUGCGUAUAUAAGUGGAACUCAAAGAAUUCAUUUAUCUUCUAUUUUCUAUACCAUAAGCCUAAAAAUUUUCUUUUUCAGUGGUGAAGUUGCAGGCAAGAGAAGGUGAGAAACACAAUGCUUUUUACAGGGAGCAGUAAACUAAUACAAAAUACAUUCAAGGCACAGAGAAAAAGCAGGGGUGGGUAAGGAUGAACUAGCUACAUCUUCUGAUGAGUGCUGUGGGGAUGCUUCAAUGUUACAGAUAAACCUGUUCAUCCAGAAUGAAAUAAUCCAUGCAACAGAUACUAGCAACCCCCCCCCCCAAAAAAAAAAAAUAUCACAUACAGAUUGGUUAUUUAGGAAUACAUUUGCUAGUAGCAGACAAAGUUAAUCAAGGUGAUCUCUUUUCCUCACCAUCUUAUCUUCACUUCCUCUGCCAGUGCAGUUCUUUCCCUUUCAGACUGCUCAAAAUGGAUUCUGCUGCCUUCCUGUAAGAAAUUCAAGCUCCACCUGUGUUUAAUUAGAUAUUGGAUAACCUGGGUUGUUGUAUUACGAACAUCUAGGCCAAAAGUCUAGAAAAACAAAUCAGUCCUAGGUCAAAGAGCAAUAGUUCCAAUUUUAAGCCAAGUGAAGUGAUAACAGGUAUAAAGAUAUCUGAAAAAUGUAGGAAAAUUUUUUUAAAAAACCUAAGUCAAGUAAAUUCUGUUGUUUGUAUCUACUGGCUUGUAACAUAUUUGCGAUUACAUAAAGUAACAAACAUAUAAAAUGAUCUUUCUCAAAGACACGUGAAAAUAAAUGAUUUUUGCAAGAGGUUCUUUUACGUUCACUUCUUGCUGUUCUGCAGGACAUUUUAGAUACACAAGGUAAAUCCUACUUGCAGAAACCAAGGAUAAAGAAAUUAUUUGCCUUUAAAUGCUCUGUAUGGUUUUUGAACAAAGGAAAGAAAGCAUAGUGUGCACACCUGUAAAGGGACUGCUCCAGUGAUUAUGCAGCAUUUCUCUGGGCUAAGGUACCGCGCAGGGAAUGUGUGGAUCUGCAGUUUGCUGCUACCCCAGUGAUGGAAAGUGGGUCAGGUAGGGUUUGUAGGCAGCAGUGGUAUCUUUAUAGCAUUCCUACCCCAGUGGAUGAUGGUGAGGAACAGAUGCACGUUUGGGCAGCCAUUCUUUGUUGCCAUUCAUGCUGGAUCUCACAGCGGUUCCUGGGUGAGGGCAUCUGCUGCUCCAUCACAGGGAUUGUUCCUCCCUAUGUCUCAGUAAAUUAGCUGUGAGAUGUGAAAACACUACAGCAGGUGGAGCAUUCUGCAUUUUCUCCUCAGGAUAUUCAAACCCACAGUGUUGAGUUUGAAAUGAAGUGAAAGAGUGGGCUGCAAUCCCUUUGGGCUGGGAGAGGAAUGAUCCCCAGUCUUCCCAUAUCCCUGCAGAGUGGGGUGAGCCCAGAUCCCCUGGAUUAGAUCAGAGAGACGUAGUUUUGGAAGGAAGAGGAAAGCACAGACCUCUGGGUUAUAUUUUUUUCUUUGAAGGAAAGUAAGUGCUUCCAAAUGUAAGUGUCUGAACUCCCUGAGGACAGAGGCAUUGCUCUGCAAUCCCGAGUUAACCCCACACUUUGGCCUUGGGGUGAGGGCAUGGUUUGUCUCCCACAUUUUCUCUGGUUUAGCUCAUCGCUUAGCCAGCUGAUUUCCACUAAAUCUUUCCCUAAAUGUUUAAAAUUCCCUCUGCUCCAAGCAGAGAAACCCCAGCCCCACACAUGGGUUUGGCCAGACUCAAAGGCCAGCUCCUUGCAGGCUUGAGGCUGUCAUGAAUAAGAUUCUCCCAAGGCAAGGUAGUGCCCAAUCUGUAGUGCCAGGGGCUGAUUAGAAAGCCUGUGCAUUUGGCACAUUCUGCUUGGAUAUGUCCUUAGCUGAAAGAAAUCUUUCUCAGGAUCUCCAUGACAGAGGAUUUUGUUUUGCAAAAUCCUGCAGGCCCAGUGUAACCCAUGCCUUGUCUACAGCUGAUGAGCCUUGAAGUUCAUUGGAAAACCUUCUAGCCUUCAGCUGCUAAAAUACGUGAGUCUUUCCACCUGCCCACCCUAAGAUUACAGCAGCCCAGCCCUUCCUUCUAUAACACGUACCAGGCUCCCUCUCCUUGCAGAGCUGUCACUAUUGACAGUCUAUGGCUGAACUCUCUUGCCUUUGAUUUUUUUCCUUUGGAAAGAGGCUCAGGUCUAAUGACAGACACUCUGGUGGCCAUAAACAUCCUCACCUGCUGAACAAAGAGUCUCCUGCCACACAUAGGCUGAUCCUUAAGAAUUGUGGUCUCCUUUCACUGCAAAGGCUCAGUGAGUCAGCAAAGUUCCUUGCAGUGCUCAUGUGCCUUCACAAAGAGCUUUGUAAAUACUGGACUUUGUUUUUGCAAAACAGCCAAGUAAAAGUUAUCUGUUUAUGAUGUGAUACCUGCAGUUGUAUCUAAAUACUUUGCAGCUUGCAUUUGUUAGGGCUGGCACAGUUUUUCAGCCACCAGACCAACCCCAGUGCAGCUUUGCAUGCCUUUCUGCCUUGAGAUGAAGAGCAGGUCUUAUAUUGCCUCCUGCAUCCUGGCUGGGAAAUGAGCUUGCUAGAGGGUAGUUAAACUUGUUUCUGAUCUGUGGGAAAGAGUAAGAGUCUCCUUAGAUCUGCAGAGGUUAGGGAUAUGGUGGCUAUUAACUCACCUGGCCUACUUGCCUAUGUGUCAUGCAUAAAUUUCACCUACACAUUUAUUUGCUAAGCCUGAAAGAUUUUAUAUUGCAGUGUUUGGAGCCACAAAGGGAGGGGAAAAUGAAGCAUCCCCAGAUGGGCCCAGAAAUGUACUCCAGAUGAUUGGUGCAGGCGAUGGAUCAUAGUGAGAGGCUUGUCUCCUGUGAUAUGCAGGUUCCAAGAUACCUAUGGGCCUGGAAGUGCAAGAGCAGGUCAGGACAGACAAACACAACACUGUGCUGUGCUGUGUUACCCCAACAGUCUCAUGCAUGUCUCCCCAGUGUGGUGCUUCCCAUGGGUAAACCUUUCACGCACCUUUCACUGGCUUGGGACCAUGGAAAAAGGCAUUCGUCUUUUCACACCAGGCUCCUGUGGUGAUUUCUGAAUCUCUUACUAACUGAGUAUGUCUUUUUGGUUUUCCUCUGUGUUUUAUACUGCUUCUGUAUGUAUUUCAGUAUAAAUGUCUUUCUAUAUAGACUAGUAGUUUUAGUCUUUUUUGUCAUGAAUUUUCUUGUGGAAUUGUGGCUGUCUUUUUAUAAAACCAUCUUUUUGCCAAUUAUUUCUGUUGUUAAUUUUUGUUGUCCCUCAGUUAUGCUAAUAUGUCAAGUUUGAGGAUACUGAUGCACUUAAAUUUAUUUAAUACAGUUCCAUGAUUGAUGUUUUAUUCUACUUGAUCCUAAUAUGGUCAUCAUUAUGCACAGCCACCUGAUAAUUCUUCAGUCUGUAAACUUUUUUAAUUUUUGUCUAUCUGAAUGAGGUCAGUACUCAUCUCAAGUGUGCUGGGUGCAUGACCGUCUAAGGUAUUUUUUGAAUGGCCACAUAAGAUCUCCAGCAAAUAUCUCUGAGGCUGAAGUCACCAAUGAUGGUAAUUCCUCUCUCUACACAUUACAAACAGAUGGUUGAGGAGAUGUUCCAUUCACUGGUAAAAUUUGUUCUGUAACAGAUGCCUGCCAGCUGCCAUUCCCUGCCCUGCUGCAUGAUUUUAUAGAGCUAACGAGAUUAAGAAACUGUUGAAAUUGAUUUUUGCUUCUAAAUACAGCAGAUCUGAUUCUGAAAAUGCAGGGAGGGCUCGUCUCAGGUGGUGCAAGCUGGCACAACUCCAGUGAAAAGUCAGUGGAGCUGAACCACUCCGCAUCAGCCACGGUGCUGCCUUGAAGAGCAGCUCUCUUAAACGAAAGCAUCGGCAUUAAGAAACUGACAACAAAAAGAAGUUUCCCAAGUAGAACAACAGCACAAAAGUGGGACAAAGGGAGACUUUGGGGCAAUUUAAAAAACUUCCCUUUGCUCAUACCAGCAGUUCAAGACUACUGAUACAUCUUGAAAAAUGCCUUUCACUGGAAACUCCAGUACAUCAGAUUGCUCAUUGCUCAGCCUCAGUGCCAUGGCAGAAGGUUGUUUUGCAGCCUUCGAACUUGCUUGCUCAUGAAUCAAUGCUUCCCACCUGUAGCCACUGGGGCUGAAGCCAUGAAACCUCCCAGGCUGAAAUCUUUCUGCUGAUAAAAAUCUAGAUUGAACUCAGCAUGAAGCUGUGGAAAAAUGCAGAUGUGUAUUUUGAGAGUCCAUGGUCAGGCUUUGAACAAUCAGAUGAGUAUUAGGGAAAAAAAAUGCAGUAGUUUAAAAAUAACAGAUCUACUGCGUGGCAGCCAUAAAAGGAGAUUUUAAGGAAAGGAACAGAAAAUCAUGCCAGAUGAACACAUUAGGAAUAGCAGUUGAUAUGGCAUGAACUAAUGACAACAUAUAUAUCCCCUUUCUCUCCAAAAUAAAUGUGAGAACCUUACAGAGAGAGCACACUGUUUAAACGCCGUUAGUACAACAUUCACCACAUCUUCUUAUCACUGCAGGCUUUUGUGAACACUACUACUGUUGCUUCUCCCUCCAGACAAAAUUUGAACUUGGGUCAAAGCUGUAAACAGUUCUUAAUUGAACAAUCCAACUUAAAGCAUUACAGGCUGCCUGAAAGCCUCUGUGACCUGACAGAUUUGAAUACUGAAAAACAUGACAUCGGAAUGACCUUUCCUUCCGCACUGUUCUCACAGCUCCUUUCUUCUCAGUAGAUACUUGAAUCUCUGCUGUCUUCCUAGUCUUAGUGCCUGAUGUGCUGAGUUUGUUCCAUCCAUCCAUCCAUCCAUCCAUCCAUCCAUCCAUCCACCCAUCCCACUAGGACCUUUAGUUGCAGGGUUAUUUAUUCCCUCUCCUCUGUUUUGUAGAGGGAUGAUAAGACAGCACUGGGUCUCGGCAGCAUCCACCAGCUAUCCAGACACCCCCAUGGGUUUCCUAAACACCCUCAUUCCCAGAGAACAGAACUCUGAGGUCUGUUGUGGUUUGAGAUAACUGGCAAAAGAGUUUGGGCCUGCCGUUACCACCCCAUAAACCCAGCCCAUCUUAAAUCAUGGCCUGCUGCCUACAUCAAAAGUCCUUUGUGAAGAGCACAGUUGCUCCUCUGUAAAUGUUCUGCAUGGAGCAGGUCAUCAGCUGCUUAUGAGCUUUCCUUCUGUUUCUAAUUUUUUUUUCUCAAAACAACUCCACAGUAUGAAGUAAUGUUAGAAAUAAAUAGUCUCAUCCUUCUCCCCUAAUAAUAGAAAGAGGAGCCUUGUUGGGCUACAUGUGAUUUUCUGUGUCAGCUCCUCACCUGGGAGUUUGAGUGGGUUUCCUACAAGUUACAGCAAUUUCAUUCAGCAAAAUCUGAAAUUAAACACUUUAUUUUCUGUGAAUCCACAGGAUGGUCUUUGAAUUGCUGAGCUUUUCUCAAGGUGACUUUGAAAGCCAUCUUCCUUGCCCUAGCAAUGAGAUUUCUGUGCACGGCAUACAGCUGUGAUAAUCCCUGGAGAGUUCUGUCCAAGCCAAGAAAUUAAGAGCCCUGUCUAAUGGGGUCACCGGCUGCUAAUGAAGUUGCACGUUCAUAAACUACAGCUACAGCUCUCAAGGGAAACUCCCCGUCAUCCCUGCUUUGGGAGAUGCAGUUUGUCUGUGUCAUAGGAGCUCGUAGGACCUGCGAGAGCUGCUGGGGGCAAUCUGCUGUGUGGGCUUUAUUUUUAACCCCUCCUCCCCAACCCCUAAGCAGGUUCUUCUUUCAUUCCCAAAUUGAACAGAACAGAGUUUUAAUUUCGGUGCCUGUGUCAAUUUGUCAGCAGUAGUCAAACAAGAGCGGAGUUAUUCAGGUUUUUUCCUUCUGUGGAGGAUCAAACAACAAAUCUGUAUAAGGAAUUCCUGAUGGAGAAGCCUAAAAGAAAGAUUAUGAAUUUUCAAAGCCGUGGCCUUGUAAACCAAGCGUCUCUGCAGACAUCAUGGAACAAGAGCUCAUUAGGAGUAAUCAUCUAAAACCUGACUGAAAUGUCUGUAGCUUUUCUGACUUACUCUGGAUGAAUAUCUGAUCCAUUCACCUAGUUUUAAGUCCAGACACAUGUUCUUGUGGUGGAGACAUAAUUUCCUCUGCAUGCUGUAACCAUUGCUCUGCACUGUGACAAGCAAUGUUUUUUGGGCUUUGCAGGCCUCAGCAAGAGUUUAUAGCACAUUUCUUUAUGGCAUUUGUUUUGCUAUACAUGAUAUAUAUUUUGAUGGGUUUGCUGGUGCUUUAUUUGAUGCUCAAGAUCAAUCAUUUCUGAAACACAAGUGUGACAUUUUGGGAAAAACAGCUUCCACUCACUCAGUACUAAUCUAUCAUGUUGACUUUAUUUCCGGCACAGUAUACCAAGAGCAAACAGCUUCCUACUACUCUGUGCUUUUCAGCUAAAUGCUUUUUCCAAAAGGUUAGGGAAAUGCUUGUGUCAUGGAAAAAACAGAAUCCAGCUACACAGGAAAUAAAGAGGUGCAGUGGAUCAGGCUUAAUUGAGCACUUAACAGGCUCAGACUAGCCUGAGCUUACAUUAACUGAGCCACUGAACCCAUCCAAGCUGAACAGAUGCAGAGCAUUGGGCUGUGCAGUUAAGAUAGAUUUCAGCGUGGGCUUCUUUAUCUGCAGGUAGUAGCACAUAACCACCUGGACAGACCCCUGGAAAUUACUCCCAGCGUGGGCAGGGGAGAGGGGCAUUUGGUACCUGCAUGAGGCAAGAUGUUCUCAGGGUCUCUGUGUACAAUAUCCCCCUCUGCCUCUCUCAAGAUACAGCUAAGGUUGUUCCUUGUGCUUUAGUUUGUUUAGAUUUUUUUUCUCAACUCUUUGUCCUAUGAAAGAGGUGUUGGGGGAUGUUCUCAGGAUUGCAGGUGGCUUGGAGGCAGAAGGGCUUGUGGAUGACUUUGUCCUUUCUACAAGACCUUCUCUUACAGGCCUUUAAUGUGUCAAUAGUGCGAUGCUACUUCUUCCUUUCUAAGGAGCCAGUGUCUCAGUCAGUGUCGGAAUUGCCCCAUGAAUCCCCACCUGACUGGAAAUUGUGCUUCUCAAGCUGAAAAUAGUGCUUCUCAAGCUGAGAGUUAGUUUUUGCUAACUAGAGACUGUCACAGCUGUUGGUCAUUCUGCAGUACUUUCUGCUAGACUUUAUUUUUGAGCUGGGGAAAAAACCCCAGCCCUGUGUGCACUAUUAGCUCAGACAGGUGAUAAUGUGCCCGUCGUAGGUGAUCGAAAUGACAAUUGGUAUCAUUACUAUGCCUGCAGAUAAUUUAGGAUUCAUUAAAGUAAAUGUUCAGGGGGGAAAAGUGCAUGAUUGCAGUUUGGCAUCGUGGUAUUAGGGCAUCCCUGGCUCUAGCAGGCAAAUGAGGAACACUGUAGCUCAGCAUUUUCUGGAUUGUAGGGAUCUAUCUGUUGGCUUGGGCUUUGCAAAAAUGUAAGCGGUAUUUACAAUUGCAAUUGGCAAUGAGCUGCUUUUUUCUGAUACAAAUCCAAAUGCUAGGGUUGUAAUUACUGUGAAUCUUGCAUCCUGCAAUCUGGAAGCAUAAGCAACAUGCACUGGUCUGUUCUUCACAAAGAAAUUGUUGCGGGCUGCAGUGGCCAUCCCUGAGGAAUCUUCCCAUGGCCCUGAAUUAUGUAGCAAGCCCACAUCUAUGCAAUCUCCUCUCCAUACUGUUUCAUUUUGCCUGCAAUAACUGUAUUAGACACCAUUGCAGAUUGACUCUACAGGCUCAUGCUAGCCCAGAUGUAAGAUGUGGGAUUCACCAUCUUCUAGGGACUAAUUUUAAAUAUUUAAAACAAAAUGGAAGACCUUCAAUAGGAAAGAUAUGCACUUGAAAAUAAAUGCUCUUUUAUAGAGUAGUCUUGUAGGUCAUGUUAUACCCCUUGUAGUGAUCAAGGUAGAGAACAGAUCUUGAUUCUUGGGAUUAGCAGCAUAAGGAUUACACAAGUCUUUUUUUUUUUUUUUUUGGAAGGCCUGAUCUUGACAGUGAUCUGUGUAGAUACAUACCAGAUCAAGACAGAGCAAAGUCACAUAGGCAGCCAACACCUAGAGACCUAAAAAUAUAUUACAUUAAUGGUCACAGUGACUGAGAGGGGUUGCCUGAAUUUGGGGCUGGCGUGGGUAAGAUGACAACUAAGGUUCUAAUCACUUUGUGACCUUCUGUAUGCUGUUGGCAUUGAAGGGUUCCUUGUUGCCAUCUGCCAAGAGGUAAAUCUGCACACGGGAUGGACAAUGGACACCUCACAGGCCAAAACAGCACUUGAAAUCUACUGGACUCAGUGUAUGAAAACUGUAUGAAAACUGAAGCUAAAACCACAGCUGAAUGUUUGGGCCAGGCUAUAAAUAAAGUACCUGAGUAAACUGUGGGGAAAUUGCUUUUAAAGGAACAGAGCAGAGGGAGUGACCCAUGUACAUGCCUUGCGCUUCAGUGUUGGGAUGCAGCUUGGCUGAGUUUUUUUUCUGACAUAUAGUCACAGAAAAGUAGGAGAUUCUUAGAAAAGACACAGGUAAGUUCACAGUCUUUAUUUUAUCCAUAAGGAAAAAGUGCCCUGAAAACUAAAUAGGUCUCAAAAUACUCUUCUCUAGAUUUUGGUUUUGCACUGUAUUAUGAAUUUGACAACAGCAGAAAAUUUUCAGCUAGAAGAGUAGAGGGGUUUUUAUACAGACAGAGUUACUUUUUCUGUCCUGUGUGUCCCUAUAUGUGUCUUUAUAUAUAUAUAUAAUUUAGAGAAGGAAAAGAUGAACUAUAUCCUCUUUGCUGAACUAUACCCUAGUUAGCAAAGACUAACUCUGAGCUUGAAAAACAUUGUUUUCAGCUUGAGAAUUUAGCUUUGUAAUAAACUCAAACUAAAGUGAACCCAGAGGAAGGAUGGCUGUGUGCUCAGCUUCUGCAGGUAGAGUCUCAUUUCCAUCUUAUUCUAUAAACAGACUCUUUUCUUCUAUUAUUUAAAACUGCUCAGCUGCUUCUCUGCAAGAAAACAGCAAAGGCAAUUGAGCACAGUCUUGGUCACGUAAGUGGCUCUUGUCUCAAAAGCUAGUUCAUAUUCAGUUCUGUCCUAGUUUUUCUUUUCUCAAUCCCAUAAAGGUCCUUUUUCAGAGUUGAAGAAAUUCCAAUUAAUGAGCACUGGAAUCAGUGUGUGAGCAAAAAAAAAAAAAAGUGCAGUAUUUAGCAUACUGCUAUAAAAUUAUGGAUAAAUAUUUACA